rnacentral:tRNA from 1 species
GAGUGUAUAGCAGUGGUAGAGUGCAUGCCUAACAUGCGUAAGGUCCUGGGUUCAAACCCCAGUAGCCUCA